rnacentral:lncRNA from 1 species
CUACAUGGAUAAAAGAGGUCGUCGAUGACCUUAGGACGACGUGAAAAAGAAAAAGAAGAAAAGGAGGAAGAAAGAGGAAAGAAAAAUGAAGAAGUUCAACAGACAACUAUUCGACGCAAGAUGCAGACAAGGUAACAAAAUCUCCUUUUCAUUUUUCAACUAACAAGAUAUACGUUACAAGACCCGGUGGGUCAAGAAAAAAAAGAUAUACAUCAUUGCAAGUCUCGCGAACAC